AUACGGAGGGUGCAAGCGUUGUCCGGAUUUAUUGGGUUUAAAGGGUGCGUAGGCGGUACGUUAAGUCAGUGGUGAAAUCCCUCAGCUCAACUGAGGAACUGCCAUUGAUACUGGCGUACUUGAGUACAGACGAGGUAGGCGGAAUUUAUGGUGUAGCGGUGAAAUGCAUAGAUACCAUAAAGAACACCGAUAGCGAAGGCAGCUUACUAGACUGUAACUGACGCUCAGGCACGAAAGCGUGGGGAGCGAACAGGAUUAGAUACCCUAGUAGUCC
rnacentral:rRNA from 1 species